UACGAAGGGGGCUAGCGUUGCUCGGAAUCACUGGGCGUAAAGCGCACGUAGGCGGAUCUUUAAGUCAGGGGUGAAAUCCUGGAGCUCAACUCCAGAACUGCCUUUGAUACUGGGGAUCUCGAGUCCGGGAGAGGUGAGUGGAAUUCCUAGUGUAGAGGUGAAAUUCGUAGAUAUUCGCAAGAACACCAGUGGCGAAGGCGGCUCACUGGCCCGAUACUGACGCUGAGGCACGAAAGCGUGGGGAGCAAACAGG
rnacentral:rRNA from 1 species